UGAAAAAUACUGUGAAUUACAAUAUCUUCUAGAUGAACAAAUUGAUAUAUCCUUUAUGUUUGCCAUGUUGAGGGGGAGUAGAGAAAUAAGCAAUCAAAGAAGGGGGCUAAAGAAGUAAAAUAUGGUAUCAAAAAGGAAGAGUAAAGAAAAUAUAUCUUUUUUGUCAUUUUUUUUCUUUUCUCUAUCCUUAAAAUCCCUUAAGAUCUUAAUUGAUGCUAUCAAAAAGGGGG
rnacentral:lncRNA from 1 species